rnacentral:rRNA from 1 species
AGAGUUUGAUCCUGGCUCAGGACGAACGCUGGCGGCGUGCCUAAUGCAUGCAAGUCGCACGCACCUUCGGGUGAGUGGCGCACGGCUGAGGAACACGUGGCUAACCUGCCCUGGAGUGGGGGAUAACGGGCCGAAAGGCUCGCUAAGCCCGCAUACGAUUGGCUGUGGCCAAGGAAAGCCGCAAGGCGCUCUGGGAGGGGGCCGCGCCCCAUUAGAUGGUUGGUGUGGUAACGGCGCACCAAGUCCGUGAUGGGUUCCGGGUCUGAGAGGACGACCCGGCAGACUGGGACUGAGAUACGGGCCAGACUCCUACGGGAGGCAGCAGUAGGGAAUAUUGGGCAAUGGCGGAAACGCUGACCCAGCCAUGCCGCGUGCAGGAAGAAGGCGCUCAGCGUUGUAAACUGCUUUUGCCGGGGAAGAACGACUCUUACGAGUAAGAGGAAUGACGGUACCCGGUGAAUAAGCACCGGCUAACUCCGUGCCAGCAGCCGCGGUAAUACGGAGGGUGCAAGCGUUGUCCGGAUUUAUUGGGUUUAAAGGGUGCGUAGGUGGCUGGUUAAGUCCGGGGUGAAAGGCAGUGGCUCAACCACUCGCAGGGCCCCGGAUACUGAUGAGCUCGAGUGUAGGUGAGGCCGGUGGAACGGGUGGUGUAGCGGUGAAAUGCAUAGAUACCAUCCAGAACACCGAUUGCGGAGGCAGCCGGCUAACCUACUACUGACACUGAGGCACGAAAGCGUGGGGAGCAAACAGGAUUAGAUACCCCGGUAGUCC